ensembl:lncRNA
GGGAGCUCCUUUUUAGGAGCAGCAUUUGAAUUUCUAAGUCUCGUUUUAACUAGAAUGAAGUUCUGGAUGCUGUGAACAGAGAGCAGACUCCUUAGGACAUUCAGAUAACCCUGUUGAAGCUGGACCGCUCAGCACCGCACGUGUUGUCAAUAGGCAUUGUGGUCCAGGCCCAUGCCUGCGACUUAGGCUCCAGAAGGCACCUGAGCACGAUAAGCAAAAGCAUCACCAGCUCAGACACUGGAGUCUCCUCCAGAGAUGGGAAGUUACCACGGGAGAAAGGAUCACAGCACUCAGGACACUGGGGUGAAAGCUGCCGAAACCCUCACCACUGCACUCGAGCUUGAUGCCUGACAGCUGCGCUAAUCUCGCUACGCUCCAAAGUGGAGAAAAGAAACGGAAGUUGCCUUACCUGACAACGGAGACAAGCAAGUGUUACGAACAGACUUGUGCCUUCCUCCCCCAAAUUCACCUGGGACCGGAUUCAGAGACUGGGUCCAUAAGCAGAGAGGAAAGGUCUCCUGUGGGCAUGUUGAGAAGUCACCAUCUUGAAGUCAAGAAGACAGACCUCACCUGAAAACAAUGAUACAGGCACCUUGCUCUUGGACUUCUGGCUCCAGAACUCUGAGGAAAUAAAUUUCUGUUGUUUAAGAUACCCACACUGUGACGUUUUGUUACGGCAGCCCUGUGUGAAUAAUAUACCAAGAUCACUGAGGCAUUUAACCUAAUAUAGCCAGAAUUCAUUGAAUCCAAUCUUUACUCAAGGAGGCUAGGUAUAUUUACAGUUAGGCCCUUUUUUCUGAAACGAACGAAAACAAAACUUUUAAAUUAACUGAAUAGGAAACACACAGGCAUAAUAAAAUGUUCAUGGGUUUACAUGGUGCCGUGGAUUGAAUUACAUCCCCAUGAAAUUCCCAUGUGGAAGCCUUAAUCCCCAAUGUGAUAGACUUUGGAGAUAAGGCUUUGGGAAGAUAAUCAAGUUUAGCUGUCAAGAAAGUAGAGACCUUGAGAUGGGGUUAAUGUUUUUACUGAGAAGAGUAGCUACGAAGCUGACUCUUGCUGUCUCGCUCCACCAUGUGGGGGCACCUGAGAAGGUGGACAUCUGAAAAUUAGAAAGACAGCCCUCGAAAGGAACCUGACCAUACUGGCACUCAGAUCUGACACUUCAGCCUCCAGAAUUUAGAGAAAAUAAUCUUUUAUUAAGACACCAAUCUGUGAUAUUCUGUUAUGGAGGCCCUAGCUGAGAUAUAAAAUUUGAGGAAGUUUUAAGCCUCUUUCUCUCACUUCAGACCCUCACUCCCGUAGUCCUUCUUUCCCAGAGGCAACCACUACAAAUUAUUACAAUUAAUAUACUAGAAUAUAGAUAGACAAGAAAUGGAUAGUGCUUUUUUUGUGAAUGAGAAUAUUCUACAUAUAUGGUCCUAAACUUUGCCUUUUU